rnacentral:rRNA from 1 species
CACGUAGGGCGCAAGCGUUGUCCGGAAUUAUUGGGCGUAAAGAGCUCGUAGGCGGACUGUCACGUCUGCUGUGAAAAGCUGGGGCUUAACCCUGGCCUUGCAGUGGAUACGGGCAGACUAGAGGUAGGUAGGGGAGAAUGGAAUUCCCGGUGUAGCGGUGAAAUGCGCAGAUAUCGGGAGGAACACCCGUGGCGAAAGCGGCUCUCUGGAACGGUACUGACGCUGAGGCGCGAAAGCUAGGGGAGCAAACGGG